rnacentral:misc_RNA from 1 species
GCACCUACCGAUUGAAUGGUUCGGUGAAAAUCUCGGACUGCGGCUUGGAUGCCUUCGGGCAAACAAGCUGUGGAAAGUUGUUUAAACCUCAUCAUUUAGAGGAAGGUGAAGUCGUAACAAGGUUUCCGUAGGUGAACCUGCAGAAGGAUCAAGAUCGGUAGAGCACACGUCUUUACUCCUCUUACUUGGCCUUAUCUCGUAUGCCUUCUUCUCCUUGAAAAAACAUUAUAACUACUUUCUCUUCCUUUUUACGUGGUCUUCUUUUACUUCUUUCCCC